AUUGAACGCUGGCGGCAUGCCUUACACAUGCCAGUCGAACGGCAGCACGGGUGCUUGCACCUGGUGGCGAGUGGCGAACGGGUGAGUAAUACAUCGGAACAUGUCCUGUAGUGGGGGAUAGCCCGGCGAAAGCCGGAUUAAUACCGCAUACGAUCUACGGAUGAAAGCGGGGGACCUUCGGGCCUCGCGCUAUAGGGUUGGCCGAUGGCUGAUUAGCUAGUUGGUGGUGUAAAGGCCUACCAAGGCGACGAUCAGUAGCUGGUCUGAGAGGACGACCAGCCACACUGGUACUGAGACACGGCCCAGACUCCUACGGGAGGCAGCAGUGGGGAAUUUUGGACAAUGGGCGAAAGCCUGAUCCAGCAAUGCCGCGUGUGUGAAGAAGGCCUUCGGGUUGUAAAGCACUUUUGUCCGGAAAGAAAUCCUUGGCCCUAAUACGGUCGGGGGAUGACGGUACCGGAAGAAUAAGCACCGGCUAACUACGUG
rnacentral:rRNA from 1 species